rnacentral:lncRNA from 1 species
UCUAGUCCCGGGCGGAUGUUAUCUAACUGGACAUUCACCCUUUUUUCUGGAAGAACAGGGUUUCCCCACAAUGGCAAAUUCCAACACCACGCAUUAGGAACUAACGGGUGAUCAUCAACAUCUUCCACUGGGGGAAGGUAUGCCAACGCUGUCACAAUGCGCUGAACAUCUGGCGGUAAAACGAUUAAUCCAAACCAAGGCACUCCCACCUGGGAUGUAAAAA